AGGGGUCUUGGCGAACGAAAAAGGGGGAAGCGGUGGGCGGUGCAGGAAGAGAUCCAUGGCGUCGAAGGUGUCGCUCAAGGGGAAGAGGAAGGCCGGGAAGGGCUCCAAGGGGCCGGAGGAGCGGUCGGCGUGCAAGUGCUUCAAGGAGUGGAGCACCUGGGCGAUGAAGAAGGCCAAGGUGAUCACUCACUAUGGCUUUAUUCCCCUCAUCAUCACCAUCGGCAUGAACUCCGAGCCCAAGCCCCAGCUCUACCAGCUGCUCAGUCCCGUCUGAUGCCUUCCCUCCACCAUCGGCAAGCUUUUAGGAGAUUUGGAUUGCCGACGACAGAUUUCCAUUAGAAUCUUUACCGAUAGAUGACAACAUGUAUGCAAGCAAGAGACUCUUACUGCUUCCUAGCACUAGCAUUUCCCAGUGGGCGGGCACUCAACCUUCUUCUUGACUCCUCAUUCAAAAGCUCCUCAAUUCCACCGGACCAUGUGCGUCCAUCAGGGGAAACGGAAGACGCAGAGCCGGUAAAAGGAAGCCAGUCUGACAUCGAUAUGGCACAAGCAGCAGCAGAGGCAGAGGUGGACGUGGUGGUGCCGAAGACUUGGGCUCCGGAAUCUCCGGCAUUCAUGGAAAUCAGUGAAGGCGACAUCCACUCCCUACUGCUUUGGCCAUCUCAGGUCUCGUCAUCACCGAGAAGUGGGAAACUGGAGGCCGAAGCUACUUCAAAAGCAGCGUGGCAAUGCUUCUUGGCCUCUCCCUGUGCUUUGACUGGCGACAGCGGGUUGACUUUUAUUUGGAACUUGGCCCAGGCCCAGGCCCAGGCCCAACCUUUGUUCUGUGAUCUUCUCAGCACGUGUCUGGCCAUCCAUGUUUUCGGAAUCCAAAUCGGGAAGUGAUGUCUUAGGUGGUAAAUAAGUUCAUUAAUUAAGUAUAUUAGCUCUC